AUGCCUCCGAGACGUGACAAUGGAUUUGCUUCCCCAUCGGAGCUCACUCAGUUGAUCCAGCAACAGAAUGCAUUGAUGCAGAUACUAGUCCAGAAUCAGAAUCAGGGGAACAACAACAACAAAAACCCACCACCACCACCACCUGUUGACCACUUAGCCCGUUUCUUGUGGCUUAAUCCGCCGGUGUUCUCUAGUAGCACCGAGCCGAUAGUUGCAGAUGAUUGGCUCUGCAAGAUUGGAAGGGAGUUGACCACUGCAGGAUGCACUGAUGCGGAGAGGGUGCGUUUUGCCGCACAUCAGCUUGAUGGACCCGCAACAUCAUGGUGGGAGAAUUUCACAGCCACUUACCCCAUCGACACUGUCACAUGGGAUCAGUUUCAGCAGGCUUUCCGUACUGCCCAUGUUUCAGCAGGAGCUAUGGCCAUGAAGAAGCGCGAGUUUCCCAACUUGCGCCAAGGAGGAUGUACAGUUGGCAAGUAUGUGGAUGAUUUUAGUAAGCUAGCAUGUUAUGCCCUAGAUGUCGUUGCUACAGAUGCAACUAAGCAGGAGAAGCUUCUGGAAGGACUGAAUGAUGAGUUGAGUAUGCAGUUGAUGGUGGCAACUUUUAACAACUACCAGGAGUUGGUAGAUAGAGCUCUCAUGAUUGAAGGGAAGCAGCAGCAGAUUGACAGCUGCAAGAGGAAGUAUGGACAAGGG
rnacentral:rRNA from 1 species